GAUGAAGAACGCAGCGAAAUGCGAUAAGUAAUGUGAAUUGCAGAAUUCAGUGAAUCAUCGAAUCUUUGAACGCAUCUUGCGCUCCUUGGUAUUCUGAGGAGCAUGCCUGUUUGAGUGUCAUUAAAUUCUCAACUACACUGACUUUGAAUUGGUGUGGCUUGGAUUUGGGGGGAAAAUUGUUGUGGGCUUUUUGUAUAGUCUGCUCCCCUGAAAUUGAUUAGCGGUACCCUUGUGGAACUGUCUACAGGUGUGAUAAUUAUCUACAUCUUAGACAUCUGCUGGAAUGCUGCUUUCUAAACCUUACUUGUAUUGACAAUCUUGACCUCAAAUCAGGUAGGACUACCCGCUGAACUUAAGCAUAUCAAUAAGCGGAGGA
rnacentral:misc_RNA from 1 species